rnacentral:lncRNA from 1 species
AUGAGCCGCCUAGCUCCCUGUCGAGAUUGCCGCCGUCGCGGCUGCUGUCACCGAGGCCGGGUCAUCGGGCCGCGGGGACCUCAAAGCCGAGUGGACGGGAGCCCCAAGUCAUUGCCUAUCCUUCGCCUCCCCAGAGCUGCUGCAACUGUCAGUCACCCACCCGGAACCCCGAGGGGCAACUACCAAGUAGGCCUCGGGGCCCGGAACAAGGGUCCCGGGGCUCAGGAUCUCGGCCGCUGCGCCUCACUCCUGCCCCAGCCCCGCGCACGGAACUCGUUUCCUUCCCACCCAGUUCGGGACACUCCUCUCUGACUUCCCCAGUAGGAUCUCACUUGCAGCGCUACAGCCAGUCCCUCUUCUGGUUCUCACGCACCCACUUAAGGCGGAGUGACUGGCCUAAAAGUCCAAGCUGAUCGUGUGGCUUCCGUUCGUAAAUAUCUCCCCUGGAUCUCCCUCCCUGGAGCCAGACAAGACUCAAAACUCCGAAGGGAAUGCAGUCCCCGCAGGGCGCAAAGGAGAAACUAAUAGUCCAGAGGCGGGGUGAACUUAAAGACCUGGCUUUCAUUAGCGUGGUGUUGUAACAGACUGCCAAGGAGCCUCUGAGGAAAUGGAUUUACGUACAUAUACAUACUCGCCCUUGCCCCUGAAGCAACAUCAAAUACUUUCAUGUUAUUCUUGGGGGCGUUUUAAUUCUUCCGAUCCUCUGAAUUCGUGUUUUUGUACAUCUCUUUCCAACCUGGGCCUACACACUAACAGAAAUAGUUUUUUACAUCGAAGGACAAUGCUUAGUGUUUUAUUCAGUCUCAGCUCUUUUCUUUCUUUUUUCUCGUUGUGUUUCAAAAUGUUUAUUUUUUCUGUCUUGUGAUAGUUUUGGAGGAAAAAUAUUGAAAUAAUUCAAAUCAGGCUCUUAACUCUGCUUUAUUAAAUUUAUAGUCAUAGUAGCCUGUGAGUAUGCUUCGGGGGAGGAAAAAAGAAUGCUGGGGUCUUUAUUCUUCAAGUUCUCUAAGUUUGAUAUUUUGAAUAAACACCCAGAGGUGUCUCUGCCUUUUGUGUGUUAGUAUCUAAUCUUUCCUGCAUUUACGAGUCACUAGUAAAAUGCUAUGAAAGCCAUAGAUCCCAUGGCUCUCACUGUGAUUUUCCUGGGCUGAGUAGGGACUUAGUGAUGUUUAACCCCCAGUAUGCUUUUUAUAGAAGCACCAGCUGAUUCACCAGUGCCCUCCAAAGUGAGCACCUAUCCAUCUCACUCUGGACUCCCAACAGGUCAUACCAGGGAGCUUCGUUGAAAUAGACUUGGCAUUUAAAUUAAAAUGUUUCCCAAAGCAUCUUGGCAGACCUGUAACUAAUGAUGCCAGAGGCCCAAGGCCUGUGCCAGGUUCCCUUUUAUUCCCAUAAGUGCUUGUCUCCCACAAGCCACUGGUCACACGCCUGCUGAUGUUAUAGAAGCACUUCUUCAUCCCACAAACAGCCCAACUGUAGGUACCCUAUCUCAGACAUGGUGAAGGGAAGCAGCAUGUUCCUCUGACAUGUGCGAUGCUUGGCUCCCAACAGGCUUUUUAUAAUAAGCUAAACUCAGAUUUUUUCAUCACAAAUAGCGUAGUAAGUAAUUGUUUUUCCUCAUUCCUGCUUGUCUCUCUGCAGUCACUAAGUGGUUGCUGUCCAUUCCUCAUAUUCCACAAGCAAUAUUAUUGAAGAAAUUGUAAAUAUUUUGCCAAAAUUCUUGCUGAAGUGUUUUCAUGGCAUUGUGAAAUUCGUAGUAGUUGGAGUUAGAAAAAGAGCCAAAAUAUCAUAGUCAUUCCUCAGCGAAUAUUGUCUAAUGGUUCCCUCAGAUUACAUUUCAGAGCAGGGCAAUAAAAGAUAGGCAAGACAUUAAUAAAAUGCCCAUUCUAAAUAGCUCCAUGAUGCUUAUGCCAAUUUAUUUUGUCUGUAUGCAAACGGUUGGAUUCUGGUGAGUAACCUGCUCAUA